GAUGAAGAACGUAGCGAAAUGCGAUAAGUAAUGCGAAUUGCAGAAUUCAGUGAGUCAUCGAAUCUUUGAACGCACAUUGCGCCCUGUGGUAUUCCGCAGGGCAUGCCUGUUCGAGCGUCAUUUCAACCCUCAAGCUCUGCUUGGUGUUGGGCCCUGCCCGCUGCGGCCGGCCCUAAAGACAGUGGCGGUACCGCCUGGCCCUGAGCGUAGUACAUCUCUCGCUCCAGUGCCCGGUGGUAGCCUGCCAGAACCCCAACUCUCGUGGUUGACCUCGGAUCAGGUAGGGAUACCCGCUGAACUUAAGCAUAUCAAUAAGCGGAGGA
rnacentral:misc_RNA from 1 species